rnacentral:piRNA from 1 species
GACCAGAUCAGGUGUUGACAUGGGCGAGA